UACGAAGGGGGCUAGCGUUGUUCGGAAUUACUGGGCGUAAAGCGCGCGCAGGCGGUCCUUUAAGUCAGGGGUGAAAGCCCAGAGCUCAACUCUGGAACUGUCUUUGAAACUAGAGGACUUGGGUACGGGAGAGGUGAGUGGAAUUCCGAGUGUAGAGGUGAAAUUCGUAGAUAUUCGGAAGAACACCAGUGGCGAAGGCGGCUCACUGGCCCGUUACAGACGCUCAGGCGCGACAGCGUGGGGAGCAAACAGG
rnacentral:rRNA from 1 species